UGGGGAAUAUUGCGCAAUGGGGGAAACCCUGACGCAGCGACGCCGCGUGCGGGAUGAAGGCCUUCGGGUUUUAAACCGCUUUUGAUUGGGAGCAAGCUUUCGGGUGAGUGUACCUUUCGAAUAAGCGCCGGCUAACUACGGGCCAGCAGCCGCGGUAAUACGUAGGGCGCAGGCGUUAUCCGGAAUUAUUGGGCGUAAAGAGCUUGUAGGCGGUUCGUCGCGUCUGGUGUGAAAGCCCAUCGCUUAACGGUGGGUUUGCGCCGGGUACGGGCGGGCUAGAGUGCAGUAGGGGAGACUGGAAUUCCCGGUGUAACGGUGGAAUGUGUAGAUAUCGGGAAGAACACCAAUGGCGAAGGCAGGUCUCUGGGCUGUUACUGACGCUGAGAAGCGAAAGCGUGGGGAGCGAACAGG
rnacentral:rRNA from 1 species